GACGAACGCUGGCGGCGUGCUUAACACAUGCAAGUCGUACGGUAAGGCCCUUUCGGGGGUACACGAGUGGCGAACGGGUGAGUAACACGUGAGUAACCUGCCCACAACUUUGGGAUAACGCUAGGAAACUGGUGCUAAUACUGGAUAUGUGCUCCUGCUGCAUGGUGGGGGUUGGAAAGCUCCGGCGGUUGUGGAUGGACUCGCGGCCUAUCAGCUUGUUGGUGGGGUAGUGGCCUACCAAGGCGGCGACGGGUAGCCGGCCUGAGAGGGUGACCGGCCACAGUGGGACUGAGAUACGGCCCAGACUCCUACGGGAGGCAGCAGUGGGGAAUAUUGCACAAUGGGCGUAAGCCUGAUGCAGCAACGCCGCGUGCGGGAUGACGGCCUUCGGGUUGUAAACCGCUUUCAGCAGGGACGAAGCUUUUUGUGACGGUACCUGCAGAAGAAGCACCGGCUAACUACGUG
rnacentral:rRNA from 1 species